rnacentral:rRNA from 1 species
CCUACGGGAGGCAGCAGUGGGGAAUAUUGGACAAUGGGCGAAAGCCUGAUCCAGCAAUGCCGCGUGAGUGAUGAAGGCCUUAGGGUUGUAAAGCUCUUUUACCAGGGAUGAUAAUGACAGUACCUGGAGAAUAAGCUCCGGCUAACUCCGUGCCAGCAGCCGCGGUAAUACGGAGGGAGCUAGCGUUGUUCGGAAUUACUGGGCGUAAAGCGUGCGUAGGCGGCGAUUCAAGUCAGAGGUGAAAGCCUGGAGCUCAACUCCAGAACUGCCUUUGAAACUAGAUUGCUAGAAUCUUGGAGAGGUCAGUGGAAUUCCGAGUGUAGAGGUGAAAUUCGUAGAUAUUCGGAAGAACACCAGUGGCGAAGGCGACUGACUGGACAAGUAUUGACGCUGAGGUACGAAAGCGUGGGGAGCAAACAGGAUUAGAUACCCUGGUAGUCCACGCUGUAAACGAUGAUAACUAGCUGUCCGGGCUCUCAGAGCUUGGGUGGCGCAGCUAACGCAUUAAGUUAUCCGCCUGGGGAGUACGGUCGCAAGAUUAAAACGUCAAAGGAAUUGACGG